UGGGGUGGGGAAGGCCCAGGGUGGGGGCCGCCCACGGGGGUGCUGCCUGGAGGCUUCCCCGGGGCUGGGGUCCCCUGGCUGGCCUGUGCAUGGGAUGUAAGGGCCUCUCCCUUCUCAGGGGAAUGAGGGGAGGCUUGGCUGAGAGUACAAGUCAGCGCCUAUGCAGCCAGCAGGGUCCUGAAACCGAGGGCGCCGUGAGGAGUCUAGGCUACCGCGGGAAAAGAAAACUCGGGCCUCCCCAAGGCAGGUGACCCAGAAAGUCCUUCAAACAUACUCUGGGUCCCUAGUUUUUGUCUCCAAAUACUUCAGCUCCUUGUCUGUGCCGUCAGGGGUGGGUUUUCUGCUGGGGGUGAACCUGGCAAACAGCCGCUGUCCUCGUGGGAGCUCUCCUCUGCGAGCUGGGGUCCCCGGAGGCAGGCCCCCCCCAGAGGCAGAGUCCCCCGGAGGCAGGGCCCCCCCAGAGGCAGAGUCCCCCGGAGGCAGGGUCCCCCCCAGAGUCAGGGUCCCCCGGAGGCAGGGCCUCCCCAGAGACAAGGUACCCCGGAGGUAGGGCCCCCCUAGAGACAGAGUCCCCCGGAGGCAGGCACUGUGGGAAGGUGCGUGAGUGUGAGCAGGGGCGGCAGGGCCACGGGUUGGGGGCCAGGACUGUGGGAAUUGUCCACAGCCUUUCUGGAAUCAAAACACUGGCAAAUGUCAAAAAGUGCGUAAUUUGUUUUACUGAAACAGGCUGCUUAUUUGUGUUUGGAAGGCCGGCUUCAAGGACCCGUCUGGGCCCUCCUUAGAUGAUAAUGUCAACAGAAACACAAACAGAUGGGGGGUGGGGGGGUCUGGGGGCUCCUCGGAAUGAAGUGCAGACGGGAAUUCGUGCUGGUCGCAGGCAGAGAAACUCCACGUGACCCCUACUCUCUGGACCUGGCCACUGCGGUGAAUGUUCCCAGCUGAGUUCCAGAACCUGCAGAGAGCAGAUCGGAUCCAGCCCAAGAGAACCGGAAGGGGGUGGGCCGUCCUUUAUCCCGUGUUCCCUCAGCCUGAUGGGCGGUAGCUGGGGUGCAACCCCCCACCCCCACCCCGACCCCCAGGGUGGCCGUGGAUUCAGGCAAGGCCCCGCCGCUGUGGCCGCGGCUUCUCUCGCUCCCUCCCUCACCCCAGAUGGUGUGGCUGAUGCUGUCCCCCUGUGUCACGGCAACUCUUGGUAACAAUUCAAGUGGAUCGAGUUCUUACCGUGCAGCAGUCACAGUUGUACCCGUUUCGCGUGCGUUCGAUCUUUAUUUUGCCAACCAGCCGUCCAUGAGGUACUAUUUUCACGUUCGUGGACGGACGAGGAACCUGAGGCACAGCGCGCCUGAGUAGCCCGUGCGAGGUCUCACCCUGCUGGGAUUAGUUCGUAGCUUGGUUUUCGCGCAUCCAGGUGACAAUGUGUCUGAUGGCACAGAAGAAAGAUCACCAGCACAAGGUCACCGAACACUUCAAAAUGGUGACACGAAUGCGUUUUCAAGAAUAACCCAUCUCAAAUUCUGUGGCGGGGCGCCUGGGGCGUUCAGUGGGUUGAGCGUCAGACUCUUGACUUCGGCUCGGGUCCCGAUCUCAAGGUUGUGGGAUCCAG